rnacentral:rRNA from 1 species
AUUGAACGCUGGCGGCAGGCCUAACACAUGCAAGUCGAGCGGGAACUUCGGUUCUAGCGGCGGACGGGUGAGUAAUGCGUAGGAAGCUACCCGAUAGAGGGGGAUACCAGUUGGAAACGACUGUUAAUACCGCAUAAUGUCUACGGACCAAAGUGUGGGACCUUCGGGCCACAUGCUAUCGGAUGCGCCUACGUGGGAUUAGCUAGUUGGUGAGGUAAUGGCUCACCAAGGCGACGAUCCCUAGCUGGUUUGAGAGGAUGAUCAGCCACACUGGAACUGAGACACGGUCCAGACUCCUACGGGAGGCAGCAGUGGGGAAUAUUGGACAAUGGGCGAAAGCCUGAUCCAGCCAUGCCGCGUGUGUGAAGAAGGCCUUCGGGUUGUAAAACACUUUCAGCGAGGAGGAAGGAGUUGUAGUUAAUAGCUGCAACUUUUGACGUUACUCGCAGAAGAAGCACCGGCUAACUCUGUACCAGCCGCCGCAGUAAUAC